rnacentral:rRNA from 1 species
UACGAAGGGGGCUAGCGUUGCUCGGAAUUACUGGGCGUAAAGCGCACGUAGGCGGUCUUUUAAGUCGGUGGUGAAAGUCCUGGAAGCUCAACGUCCAGAACUGCCUUCGAUACCUGGAAGACUUGAGUCCGGGAGAGGUGGAGUGGAACUGCGAGUGUAGAGGUGAAAUUCGUAGAAUAUUCGCAAGAACACCAGUGGCGA